AUACAAUGAUGUGGACACGUAACCAACAAACCCUUGAAUAUCUCCCAUAUUUCUUGUAAUAUCUCUGUUGGUUUUUGUAUAAAACUCAAUAUCUCAUCAAUUUGUUA
rfam:Nicotiana sylvestris Nsyl_contig56842, whole genome shotgun sequence.